AACACGUAGUCAAUCUACCCUAUGGACGGGAAUAACCUCGGGAAACUGAGAAUAAUGCCCGAUAGAACAUUAUGCCUGGAAUGGUUUAUGUUUCAAAUGAUUUAUCGCCAUAGGAUGGGACUGCGGCCUAUCAGUUUGUUGGUGAGGUAAUGGCCCACCAAGACUAUUACAGGUACGGGCUCUGAGAGGAGUAGCCCGGAGAUGGGUACUGAGACACGGACCCAGGCCCUAUGGGGCGCAGCAGGCGAGAAAACUUUGCAAUGUGCGAAAGCACGACAAGGUUAAUCCGAGUGGUUUCUGCUAAAGAAACCUUUUGUCAGUCCUAGAAACACUAACGAAUAAGGGGUGGGCAAGUUCUGGUGUCAGCCGCCGCGGUAAAACCAGCACCUCAAGUGGUCAGGAUGAUUAUUGGGCCUAAAGCAUCCGUAGCUCGUUUUGUAAGUUUUCGGUUAAAUCCAUGCGCUUAACGUAUGGGCUGCCGGGAAUACUGCAUAACUAGGAAGUGGGAGAGGUAGACGGUACUCGGGAGGAAGGGGUAAAAUCCUUUGAUCUCUUGAUGACCACCUGUGGCGAAGGCGGUCUACCAGAACACGUUCGACGGUGAGGGAUGAAAGCUGGGGGAGCAAACCGGAUUAGAUACCCGGGUAGUCCCAGCUGUAAACUAUGCAAACUCAGUGAUGCAUUGGCUUAUGGCCAAUGCAGUGCUGCAGGGAAGCCGUUAAGUUU
rnacentral:rRNA from 1 species